rnacentral:rRNA from 1 species
GAUGAACGCUGGCGGCGUGCUUAACACAUGCAAGUCGAACGGAAAGGCCCUAGCUUGCUUGGGUGCUCGAGUGGCGAACGGGUGAGUAACACGUGGGUGAUCUGCCCUGCACUUUGGGAUAAGCCCGGGAAACUGGGUCUAAUACCGGAUAGGACCACCUCGUGGAUGUUGUGGUGGAGAGUUUUUGGGGUGUUGGGUGAGCACGCGGCCUAUCUCCUUGGUGGGGGGGUAUUGGCCUACGAAAGCGUCGAGGGGUAGCCGGGCUGAGAGGGUGUACGGCCACAGUGGGACUGAGAUGCCGAGCAGACUCCUGGGGGAGGCAGCAGUGAGGAAUACAGCACAAGGGGAAGCAGCAUGAUGCAGCGACGCCGGGGGGGUGAUGGCGGUCUUGGGGUUGAACACUUCUGUCGGUAAAGACGAAUUUAGGACGGUAAUUGGAGAAGAAGCACCGGCUAACUACGUG